GACGAACGCUGGCGGCGCGCCUAACACAUGCAAGUCGAACGAGCGAGAGAGAGCUUGCUUUCUUGAGCGAGUGGCGAACGGGUGAGUAACGCGUGAGGAACCUGCCUCAAAGAGGGGGACAACAGUUGGAAACGACUGCUAAUACCGCAUAAGCACACGGUGCCGCAUGGCACAGAGGGAAAAGGAGCAAUCCGCUUUGAGAUGGCCUCGCGUCCGAUUAGCUAGUUGGUGAGGUAACGGCCCACCAAGGCGACGAUCGGUAGCCGGACUGAGAGGUUGAACGGCCACAUUGGGACUGAGACACGGCCCAGACUCCUACGGGAGGCAGCAGUUGGGAAUAUUGCACAAUGGGGGAAACCCGGAUGCAGCGGCGCCGCGUGGAGGAAGAAGGUCUUCGGAUUGUAAGCUCCUGUUGUUGGGGAAGAAAAUGACGGUACCCAACAAGGAAGUGACGGCUAACUACGUG
rnacentral:rRNA from 1 species